AACGUAGGGUGCAAGCGUUGUCCGGAAUUACUGGGUGUAAAGGGAGCGCAGGCGGACCGGCGAGUUGGAAGUGAAAACUAUGGGCUCAACCCAUAAAUUGCUUUCAAAACUGCUGGCCUUGAGUAGUGCAGAGGUAGGUGGAAUUCCCGGUGUAGCGGUGGAAUGCGUAGAUAUCGGGAGGAACACCAGUGGCGAAGGCGACCUACUGGGCACCAACUGACGCUGAGGCUCGAAAGCAUGGGUAGCAAACAGG
rnacentral:rRNA from 1 species